GUCAGUCUGACAGAUAAUGUACUAGAUUUAGGAUCUACUUAUGAGGGUGGUAGUCCCUCGGCUGAUU
rnacentral:tRNA from 1 species